UUUGACGGCGAGCGGCGGACGGGUGAGUAAAAUCUGGGGAUCUGCCCNAUAGAGGGGGAUAACUACUGGAAACGGUAGCUAAUACCGCAUAAUGUCGAAAGACCAAAGUGGGGGACCUUAUGGCCUCACGCUGUUGGAUGAACCCAGAUGGGAUUAGCUAGUAGGUGUGGUAAUGGCUCACCUAGGCAACGAUCCCUAGCUGGUCUGAGAGGAUAACCAGCCACACUGNAACUGAGAUACGGUCCAGACUCCUACGGGAGGCAGCAGUGGGGAAUAUUGCACAAUGGGGGAAACCCUGAUGCAGCUAUGCCGCGUGUGUGAAGAAGGCCUUUGGGUUGUAAAGCACUUUCAGCGGGGAAGAAGCUUACAGNGCUAAUAACUCUGUAAAUUGACGCUACCCGAAGAAGAAGCACCGGCUAACUCCGUGCCAGCAGCCGCGGUAAUACGGAGGGUGCAAGCGUUAGUCGAAAUUACUGGGCGUAAAGAGUACGCAGGCAGUCUGUUAAGUCAGAUGUGAAAUCCCCAGGCUCAACCCGGGAACUGCAUCUGAAACUAGCAAGCUAGAGUCUCGUAGAAGGGGGUAGAAUUCCAGGAGUAGCGGUGAAAUGCGUAGAUAUCUGGAGGAAUACCAGUGGCGAAAGCGGCCCCCUAGACGAAGACUGACGCUCAGGUACGAAAGCGUG
rnacentral:rRNA from 1 species